rnacentral:rRNA from 1 species
GGAUUGCCCUAGUAACGGCGAGUGAAGCGGCAACAGCUCAAAUUUGAAAUCUGGCUCUUUUAGNGUCCGAGUUGUAAUUUGCAGAGGGCGCUUUGGCGUUGGCAGCGGUCCAAGUUCUUUGGAACAGGACGUCACAGAGGGUGAGAAUCCCGUACGUGGUCGCUAGCCUUCGCCGUGUAAAGCCCCUUCGACGAGUCGAGUUGUUUGGGAAUGCAGCUCUAAAUGGGAGGUAAAUUUCUUCUAAAGCUAAAUACUGGCCAGAGACCGAUAGCGCACAAGUAGAGUGAUCGAAAGAUGAAAAGCACUUUGGAAAGAGAGUCAAAUAGCACGUGAAAUUGUUGAAAGGGAAGCGCUUGCAGCCAGACUUGCCNGUAGUUGCUUNUCCGGACUUUUGUCCGGUGCACUCUUCUNNGGGCAGGCCAGCAUCAGUUUAGGCGGUUGGAUAAAGGUCUCUAUCA